rnacentral:rRNA from 1 species
AUUGAACGCUGGCGGCAGGCCUAACACAUGCAAGUCGAAUGGUAACAGGAAACAGCUUGCUGUUUCGCUGACGAGUGGCGGACGGGUGAGUAAUGUCUGGGAAACUGCCUGAUGGAGGGGGAUAACUACUGGAAACGGUAGCUAAUACCGCAUAACGUCGCAAGACCAAAGAGGGGGACCUUCGGGCCUCUUGCCAUCAGAUGUGCCCAGAUGGGAUUAGCUAGUAGGUGGGGUAACGGCUCACCUAGGCGACGAUCCCUAGCUGGUCUGAGAGGAUGACCAGCCACACUGGAACUGAGACAUGGUCCAGACUCCUACGGGAGGCAGCAGUGGGGAAUAUUGCACAAUGGGCGCAAGCCUGAUGCAGCCAUGCCGCGUGUAUGAAGAAGGCCUUCGGGUUGUAAAGUACUUUCAGCGGGGAGGAAGGGAGUAAAGUUAAUACCUUUGCUCAUUGACGUUACCCGCAGAAGAAGCACCGGCUAACUCCGUG